UUCAUAAUAACUUAACGAAUCGCAUGGCCUUGCGCCGGCGAUGGUUCAUUCAAAUUUCUGCCCUAUCAACUUUCGAUGGUAGGAUAGUGGCCUACCAUGGUCUCAACGGGUAACGGGGAAUUAGGGUUCUAUUCCGGAGAGGGAGCCUGAGAAACGGCUACCACAUCCAAGGAAGGCAGCAGGCGCGCAAAUUACCCAAUCCCAAUUCGGGGAGGUAGUGACAAUAAAUACUGAUACAGGGCUCUUUUGGGUCUUGUAAUUGGAAUGAGUACAAUCUAAAUCCCUUAACGAGGAACAAUUGGAGGGCAAGUCUGGUGCCAGCAGCCGCGGUAAUUCCAGCUCCAAUAGCGUAUAUUAAAGUUGUUGCCGUUAAAAAGCUCGUAGUUGAACCUUGGGCCUGGCUGGUCUGUCCUCCUAAUCGAGCGCACGGAUUCGGUCGGGCCUUUCCUUCUGGGGAGCCCGAUGCCCUUCACUGGGUGUCGCGGGGAACCAGGACUUUUACCUUGAAAAAAUUAGAGUGUUCAAAGCAGGCCUUUGCUCGAAUACAUUAGCAUGGAAUAAUAGAAUAGGACAGAGGUUCUAUUUUGUUGGUUUCUAGGACCGCUGUAAUGAUUAAUAGGGAUAGUCGGGGGCGUCCGUAUUCAAUUGUCAGAGGUGAAAUUCUUGGAUUUAUUGAAGACGAACUACUGCGAAAGCAUUCGCCAAGGAUGUUUUCAUUAAUCAGUGAACGAAAGUUAGGGGAUCGAAGACGAUCAGAUACCGUCGUAGUCUUAACCAUAAACUAUGCCGACUAGGGAUCGGACGGUGGUUUUUUUAUGCCCCGUUCGGCACCUUACGA
rnacentral:rRNA from 1 species